UCAUCUUGCCCGGUGUGACGACACGAACGCAGUUGUAGCCUAGUUACCGCGCGAGGCCUCGAUCAGGAAGUGCAUUUGAGGAAAGCAGAGAAACGGGAGGUAGAGAAUGACAUAGAGGGGGAGAGGUGGGAGAGAGAGUCUGACGGAGGGAAAGACACUGUUCUGGAUCUUAACGGAGCACGAACCUUCCCUCGUGAGAAGAAGACAUCACCACCACAAUGAUCAUUAAGGAAUUUCGAGUUAUUCUGCCCAUAUCAGUGGAAGAGUACCAGGUGGGUCAGCUGUACUCC